rnacentral:lncRNA from 12 species
AUGUGCGGAGCUGGCGGGUCUGGCGGCCCCGGCGGGCGGGCACUGGAGUGCCAGCGCCUUCUCACCACGCGACGGGAUCGGCAGUACAAGCAGGAGCUGAAGUCUUGGCCGCGCGCGGGGCUGGAGGUGCCAAGAGCCAGCUCAGAGCCAAGAGCCCGCUGGCAAGCCCCACAGGACAUAUUGCGCACCAAGCACGCGGACAGCAGCCUUCCCAGAUGGGCCCGCGCUCGCCAGUGGGAAGGGGUGCUGGAAUGCGUGGGGCUCCCGCCUCCCAGGGGCCGCCGCUCCGGACUCGGAAGGAGCUGUCCUCCUCCAGGUGGAGUCAGACGACACUUCGUGGGGACCCUCUGUCUCCUCCCCACCCUCCCCCUACCAUUUGUCCGUGACUAUUCAAAAGAAUCACCCCUACCCCUACGUUUGAGCCCCCGAAUCAAAUCGCUUUCGCAAUUUGUCCGAUUAUGCAGAGGAGCCGAAAGAAAGGAAGGGAAGUCAUUUGAUUCUAUUAUGUGGAAAUUAGCUGGAAACAGAGGCUGCUGCCUGUUAGAGCAAUUUCUCUCCAUUUGUUUCGGGAGAAAAUUGCCUGCGCGUCCUCAUCUGGCCGGGGCUGGCGGCCCCCCAGGCUGCGAGGGGGAGCUGUGCGGGCAGCAGCCCCGCGGCCCCCGCCCCUCCGGCCCGGCUCACGGGAGGUGUGGGGGGGGUGUCACGCCGCUGCCCACGGAAGCGCCCGGGCAGGCGGGCGGGGAUGGCAGGCCCUGGACACACCGUGGCUCUUGGGAGGCCAGGAGCCAGCUUCCCUGCAGCGGGGGCCCAGCCCCCGGGGGUGGGACCUCUGCCUCGCUUCCCUGCACCAGGGCUUCGGCUGAGGUCUGCACCUGCUGGCACAGGACACCGCCAAGCCCCCUCCCCUGGCCGCGCUGCGCCCUGCUCGCCCCGUGCGGGGCCUGGACCUCCUGGACCUCCUGUACCUGCGCCCCUUGGUCGGGAUGGGGCGGCCCGAGCUGUGGGGCAGGCAGUUCCCCAUCCCGCAAGCUGAUGAUGACGACGACGAUGACAGCAGGUUGGUGGAUCCCCCCUUGCGUGUGCAGGUUCGGGGACGGGGCUGCUCCUCGAGGCUGUCGGGGCCCCAGGCUGGGGGGUCCCCCUGUCCUGUGGCACCGCCCUCUCAGCACGCGGGUCCUGGGUUCCACCUGCGUGGUGGCGCUUCACAGCUUCCCCGCUGGGGCUCCCGGGGGUGGGGGGGGUGGGGGGUGGGGGUGGGGGUGGGGAGAGGGGCUCAGUGAUCAAGCAUCUGCCUUCCGCCCAGGGUGUGACGUCGGGGUCCCGGGAUCGAGUCCCGCGUCGGGCUCCCUGCACAGAGCCUGCUUCUCCCUCUGCCUGUGUCUCCGCCUCUCUCUCUCUCUGUGUCUCUCAUGA